AUUGAACGCUGGCGGCAGGCCUAACACAUGCAAGUCGAACGGUAACAGGAAGAAGCUUGCUUCUUUGCUGACGAGUGGCGGACGGGUGAGUAAUGUCUGGGAAACUGCCUGAUGGAGGGGGAUAACUACUGGAAACGGUAGCUAAUACCGCAUAACGUCGCAAGACCAAAGAGGGGGACCUUCGGGCCUCUUGCCAUCGGAUGUGCCCAGAUGGGAUUAGCUAGUAGGUGGGGUAACGGCUCACCUAGGCGACGAUCCCUAGCUGGUCUGAGAGGAUGACCAGCCACACUGGAACUGAGACACGGUCCAGACUCCUACGGGAGGCAGCAGUGGGGAAUAUUGCACAACGGGCGCAAGCCUGAUGCAGCCAUGCCGCGUGUAUGAAGAAGGCCUUCGGGUUGUAAAGUACUUUCAGCGGGGAGGAAGGGAGUAAAGUUAAUACCUUUGCUCAUUGACGUUACCCGCAGAAGAAGCACCGGCUAACUCCGUG
rnacentral:rRNA from 1 species